rnacentral:misc_RNA from 1 species
GAUGAAGAACGUAGCGAAAUGCGAUAAGUAAUGUGAAUUGCAGAAUUCAGUGAAUCAUCGAAUCUUUGAACGCACAUUGCGCCCAUUAGUAUUCUAGUGGGCAUGCCUGUUCGAGCGUCAUUAAGUCCACUUAAGCCCUGCUUAGUGUUGGGAGACUGCUCCAGCGGUGCUACCCUGUAGCUACCCUGCAGCUCCUCAAAGACAGCGGCGGAGUUGUGGUAUCCUCUGAGCUUAGUAACUUGUUCUAGCUUUCGAGUACACCACUUCCCCUGCCGUAAAACCCUUAGUUUUUAAUGGUUGACCUCGGAUCAGGUAGGAAUACUCGCUGAACUUAAGCAUAUCAACAAGCGGAGGA